CGCCCCCGCCCGCCAUGGCCCGGGACUACGACCACCUCUUCAAGCUGCUCAUCAUCGGCGACAGCGGUGUGGGCAAGAGUAGCUCGCUGUUACGAUUUGCAGACAACACCUUCUCAGGCAGCUACAUCACCACAAUCGGAGUGGAUUUCAAGAUUCGGACUGUGGAGAUCAAUGGGGAGAAGGUGAAGCUGCAGAUCUGGGACACGGCAGGGCAGGAGCGCUUCCGCACCAUCACCUCUACGUAUUAUCGGGGGACCCAUGGGGUCAUUGUGGUUUACGACGUCACUAGUGCCGAGUCCUUUGUCAAUGUCAAGCGAUGGCUUCAUGAAAUCAACCAGAACUGUGACGAUGUGUGCCGAAUAUUAGUGGGCAAUAAGAAUGAUGACCCUGAGCGGAAGGUGGUAGAGACAGAAGAUGCCUACAAAUUUGCGGGGCAGAUGGGGAUCCAGCUCUUUGAGACCAGUGCCAAGGAGAAUAUCAAUGUGGAAGAGAUGUUCAACUGUAUCACAGAGCUGGUUCUGCGAGCAAAGAAAGACAACUUGGCCAAACACCAGCAGCAACAACAGAACGAUGUGGUGAAGCUGACCAAAAACAGUAAACGAAAGAAACGCUGCUGCUAAUGCCCCAGCCCACUGCAGAGACUGCACUGCAUCCCUCCCAGC